rnacentral:rRNA from 1 species
AUUGAACGCUGGCGGCAGGCCUAACACAUGCAAUUCGAACGAGUGGCGGACGGGUGAGUAAUUUCUUGGACACUGCCUGAUGGAGGGGGAUAACUACUGGAAACGGUAUCUAAUACCGCACACCAUCAGAUGUGCCCAGAUGGGAUUGGCUCGUUGGUGGGGUAACGUCGCAGCAAGGCGACGGUCCCUUGCUGGUCUGAGAGGAUGACCAGCCACACGGGAACGAGGACAAGGUCCAGACUCCUACGGGAGGCAGCAGUGAGAAAUAUUGCACAAGGGGCGCAAGCCUGAUGCAGCCAUGCCGCGUGUAUGAAGAAGGCCUUCGGGUUGUAAAGUACUUUCAGCGGGGAGGCGUUACCCGAAGAAGAAGCACCGGCUAACUCCGUGCCAGCAGCCGCGGUAAUAC